rnacentral:lncRNA from 1 species
CUGCUACACUGAGGUAGCCAUGUCUUUGCCAGGCAGAAGGCGCAUGUGUUCCUGAACGGCGUCGGUCAACUAUAGGGAUUCACCUGUAGGUAUCCUUACUCAGAGGGGGGUACAGAGAACAAACGUGGACUGUGUUCUUCUAAGGAGAGAACUCUGCGUGAUUUGGUCAGGGGACAUGUGGGUUAGUGAGAACGGCAGAGGGCCUGAGUUCUGCUUGGGGAACCGACUGGACAGAAGGCAGCGGAACCCUCCACUCAGGAAUCUCCACCGGCCCAGAUGUCCCAUCAACGCCGCCAGCUGGCCGCGUGGCUCUGGCUCAGUCCUCCGCCAGGAGAAGGCACCUUGUUAUCUGUCCUUUGUCAGUAAGGCCAUCCUGUGGGACCGGGCAUUCAACCAGUGGACAGGCUUGCAUCUCCAUCGGGGAGCUGUUGACCACAAACAGGCCUGUAAUGAUAUUAGGCAGGACUGGCUCUGGGCUGGCUGUGCUGUGUGAGGCCGGCGUGUGGGCUGCCUGACGCCAGGAGGUCAGGCUGUUUCCUGGGGCCCUGUGGGGGACCCCAGAACUCCUUGUUGUAGUCACAGGCUAUGUACUGUGCAGCUCUGAAGACAUCCAGCAGCAGAUGAGGGCAGCCGGGGGCGUGUCACGGCACUCAUUGAACCACAGCCGGGUCAAUCGUCGAACAGGUGAAGGUGGUUGGCAUGGAAGAGGUGAAAGCGAUGGCAGUUGCAGGUCAGCUACUUACAAACCCACAGGGGGAG